AACGCACCUUGCGCUCCUUGGUAUUCCGAGGAGCAUGCCUGUUUGAGUGUUAUGAAAUUCUCAACUGCCCCAGGCUUUGUGGCCUGCAGGUGAAGUUGGACUUGGAGGUAUUAUGCUGGCGCAUGAAUGGGCUUUUGCGGCCCUGCCUUGCUUGUUGGCUCCUCUUGAAUGCAUGAGCUUUCCAAUCCUUGGCAAAGUAUCGUCGAUGUGAUAAUUGUCUACGUCGCCCGAGAAAGCCGAAAGGGGAAAUCUUUGAUCACGCCAGGGUGACCUGCGUCUGACAAAUUCGACCUCAAAUCAGGUAGGACUACCCGCUGAACUUAA
rnacentral:ncRNA from 2 species